GUGCUUGCUUCAGCAGCACAUAUACUAAAAUUGGAAUGAUAACAGGGAACAUUAGCAGGGUCCCUGCCCAAGGAUGACAUGCAAAUUCAUGAAGCAUUCAUUUUUUUC
ensembl:snRNA U6 U6 spliceosomal RNA